UAGACUCCAAGGCAUCCUCUCAUCCACAGGUCAGGUACAGUGUGGGCAGGUGCACUGCCGACUGCCUUACACCGCGCCCCCUGUCCACCUCAAAGCCGAUAUGGACGGGCCACUCUCCAGCCGGGGUGAGAAGGUAAAUGGAAUCUGGUUGGGUCUGAU
ensembl:misc_RNA